rnacentral:rRNA from 1 species
AUUGAACGCUGGCGGCAGGCCUAACACAUGCAAGUCGACCGAGCGGCGGACGGGUGAGUAAUGUCUGGGGAUCUGCCCGAUAGCGGGGGAUAACUACUGGAAACGGUAGCUAAUACCGCAUACUAUCGAAUGUACCCAGAUGGGAUUAGCUAGUAGGUGGGGUAAAGGCUCACCUAGGCGACGAUCCCUAGCUGGUCUGAGAGGAUGACCAGCCACACUGGAACUGAGACACGGUCCAGACUCCUACGGGAGGCAGCAGUGGGGAAUAUUGCACAAUGGGCGCAAGCCUGAUGCAGCCAUGCCGCGUGUAUGAAGAAGGCCUUAGGGUUGUAAAGUACUUUCAGCGGGGAGGCGUUACCCGCAGAAGAAGCACCGGCUAACUCCGUGCCAGCAGCCGCGGUAAUUC